rfam:Aedes aegypti strain Liverpool supercont1.1007 genomic scaffold, whole genome shotgun sequence.
GCCGCUAGAGCCGUGAGCCGUACCUUUUGGAGAUGGCAACACAAAUACUGGAAACCCAAGCGGUUCCGGCUUAU